GACGUAGGGGGCAAGCGUUGUUCGGAAUUAUUGGGCGUAAAGCGCUCGUAGGCGGGAUUGGAAGUCCGUGUUGAAAGACCUCGGCUCAACUGAGGGACCGGCUCGGAUACUCUAAUUCUUGAGGCAAUCAGAGGAUGAUGGAAUUCCCGGUGUAGCGGUGAAAUGCGCAGAUAUCAGGAGGAACACCGGUGGCGAAGGCGGGUCUCUGGGCCGAUACUGACACUGAGGAGCGAAAGCGUGGGGAGCGAACAGG
rnacentral:rRNA from 1 species